GCCUCCUUAGUGUAGUAGACAGCACGUCAGUCUCGUAAUCUGAAGGUUCUGAGUUCAAACCUCAGAGAAGGCA
rnacentral:tRNA from 1 species